rnacentral:rRNA from 1 species
UACGUAGGGGGCGAGCGUUGUCCGGAAUUAUUGGGCGUAAAGAGCGUGUAGGCUGUUCGGUAAGUCUGCCGUGAAAACCUGAGGCUCAACCUCGGGCGUGCGGUGGAUACUGCCGGGCUAGAGGACGGUAGAGGCGAGUGGAAUUCCCGGUGUAGCGGUGAAAUGCGCAGAUAUCAGGAGGAACACCGGUGGCGAAGGCGGGUCUCUGGGCCGAUAUUGACGCUGAAGCACGAAAGCGUGGGGAGCAAACAGG